rnacentral:lncRNA from 1 species
ACAUAACAAAUAUAAAUAGUCUUCACAGUUUUAAAGAAAAAGAAAUAAAAAAUCCUAAAAAUUUAAUACAGGAAGAAAAUGAAAUUACAAAGAAUAAACAAAAAAAAAAUAAUUCCGAAUAUCAUACAAUUACAACAGAUGAUUGUAUAAUCGAAACGGAACAAAAUAAAUUUGAGUCUGAUAAAAAUAAUUUAAACAAAAAAAUGAGUACAAACAACAAAGACUCUAACUCUAAUCAUGAUGCAAUGAAGUCCUUAAACGAAUGUAUUAUCGAAAUAAAAAAAAAAAAACUAAAAAGUUAUUUAAAAAGUAAAUUAAAAAGGUUAUACUUUGGUAAUAAAUAUACUACAGGAUAUAUCGACGAAAAUAUACGUUAUUGGGCUCACACAGAUAGAAAAAACAUUUAUAGUGAUACCGAGAUUGAUGAAGAGGAGGAUGAGGAGGAGGAGAAAGCAGAAGAAGAAGCAGAAGCAGAAGCAGAAGAAGAAGAAGAAGAAGAAAAAGAAGAAGAAGAAGAAGCAGAAGAAGAAGCAGAAGCAGAAGCAGAAGAAGAAGCAGAAGCAGAAGCAGAAGCAGAAGAAGAAGGUGGGAUUUACAAUGGGAAUGUUGAGACAGGUGAAUUAAAUGGUCAAUCUAGUCACUCCGACAAUCCUAGCCAAUCUGGACAAUCUAGUUAUUAUGAAGAGGCUAGUCAAGGUUGGCAUUCUAAUCAACACGAACCUAUACAAAUUAGAAAAUGUAACAUACAUAAUAAACGUAGCAAAUAUAAAAAAAAGGAACAGUCAAAUAAAACAAGGAAAUUGAACAAUUUACGAAACAAAAAGUACUGUUAUUUUAAUUAUGCCGUUUUUGAUAUUAGUACAAAAAACACAAGCACGUAUAAUAACUUAAUUGUUAAAUUAAAUAAUCUAGGUAUUAUGACAGAAGUCUGGGGAUUCUCUUCUUUUCUCCAAGGUAUAGCCCUUAUAUAUCCCCAAAACAUAUCUACUUACCCACAUUGGCAUUUUUAUACAUGUCCUGAUUUAAUACAAUUCGAAAAUAACAAAAAAAAAGAAAAGGCGGUGAAAAAUAGGAAUAGUAAAAAUAAUAGACGCAGUAAUAAACGUCAUAACAAAUAUAACGGAUGUUGUGAUUAUGAUGAUUAUUAUAGCAGUCAUAAAAAAUGUAACAA